UACGUAGGGGGCAAGCGUUGUCCGGAAUCAUUGGGCGUAAAGAGCGUGUAGGCGGCCAGAUAAGUCCGCUGUGAAAUCUCGAGGCUCAACUUCGAGCUGUCGGUGGAAACUGUCUGGCUAGAGUCCGGAAGAGGAGAAUGGAAUUCCGGGUGUAGCGGUGAAAUGCGCAGAUAUCAGGAAGAACACCCGUGGCGAAGGCGGUUCUCUGGGCAUUACCUGACGCUGAGGAGCGAAAGUGUGGGAGCGAACAGG
rnacentral:rRNA from 1 species